rnacentral:ncRNA from 1 species
AUCACCAGAGGUAGAAAUUUCCGCCGCUACGCACCGAGCCGCAAGGCCGGUCACAGAAGAUGUCGGGACUGGCGGACCGACCUGGUGAU